rnacentral:rRNA from 1 species
UACAGAGGGGGCAAGCGUUGUUCGGAAUUACUGGGCGUAAAGGGCGCGUAGGUGGCCUUCUAAGUUGAACGUGAAAUCCCUGGGCUCAACCCAGGAACUGCGUCCAAGACUGGGAGGCUUGAAUCCGGGAGAGGGAUGCGGAAUUCCAGGUGUAGCGGUGAAAUGCGUAGAUAUCGGAAGGAACACCAGUGGCGAAAGCGGCUUCCUGGUCCAGCAUCGACGUUCAGGCACGAAAGCGUGGGGAGCAAACAGG